rnacentral:rRNA from 1 species
UUGACCUCAAAUCAGGUAGGACUACCCGCUGAACUUAAGCAUAUCAUAAAACGCCGGGGGA